UGGGAGCGCGCCUCAAUGGCAUUGAGGAGGUCGGGGGUUCGAAUCCCCCCAGGUCCACCA
rnacentral:tRNA from 1 species